CGUCACAGCAGGGGACGCUCCGCAUUCUUGUGCAGCCUCACGCUGAAACAGCACUCGUUUUGUGCCCGUUUCUGGGCCACGUUUUGUGCUCUCUUGUGCCCUUUCCUGUUCAGAACGGCCCGAGGCAAAUGCGGGUGGUUCCGAGCCCGCAGGGCUGUGACGCACCGUGUGGGGAAGACACCGCGUCGCCCGGCCGGGUGUGGGGCGGGCGCUGCUGACCCGCGUCCAGACUCCAGAGCGAAUCAGCAGGAGUUUUGCGAAUUUCCCCAUCUAAAGGAUUAAAAACCACAAUCUGCAGCGAUUAAGGAACAAGGUGAACUCCAGCGCUCUGCUCCUGCACCGGGGAGAGAGCAGGCCUCGCCGCCGUGCCCACCGGGAAGGGGCGUCCUCUCAUGAAGUGGGAACUGAGGCUCCUGCCGACGGCUUCAGUCGUGGAAGUUCAGAAAGGCCAUCGGUGUCCAAUGAAGACUUUCCGAGUGGCGUUUUCCCAUCUGAACAUCUUCAUUUUCUAAGAACCAAGUAAACAGAGAUGAGUGAUGGCUGGAAAUCAAAACCUGGGCUGCGAGCCCCGCAGAUGGGGACAAAGACCUGGCUUAUCCCUCAGGUCCUUCACGCGAGCGCACGGAACCCUCUUCCCCCAGCAAUUUCUUGGACAGACCCGAGCUCAUCACCCAAGUCUUGGCUCCACGUCACCACUUUUGCUCAAAUGUUACCUCCUGGCUCAGCGGCCACCUGGCCAUCUGCUUGCAAAGUUGCCUCUGCUUCCCAUGGACCUAGAGCAGUGCCUGGAUUCAAGAGAUACUUAUUAAAUGAAGACUAAAUAAAGGGAGAGAUAAAAGCGUGGCGUCCAAGGCUGCCUCCUGAGCGCUCAGGUUUGCUGGGCAUCUGCUUGCUUGCGUGUUGGCCCAGCUGAACGAUGGCUUUCCCGAGACCAGGCAUCGUAUUCGCCUCACUCCCUGCAGGAAUGACCCGGGUUAGUGGCCGCACCUGCAGGCUCACGCGUUUCUCUCUACAAAGCGAUUGGAGAAAUCACACAUAUUUUCAUAGGUUUUACCUUUUGUGAAGCACCCUUCUAGGUGCUAUGAGACACGAGCCUGGUGGGAAGCAAGCGCGGGAGCCUGCAGCAGGAGAGGCUUUUCCAGCAAUACCGGAUGAGGAGGAGGGCCUGAAGGGGCGAGGGCACGGUGUGUGCCGGGAAUGGCGUGUGCCAGGCGACGGCAUGGCCCCGAGUGGGAAUCCAGAGUGUGGAGCGCCUGCUGACGAUGUUUUAUUUUUAAAUAAACCUUU